rnacentral:rRNA from 1 species
UACGUAGGGGGCUAGCGUUGUCCGGAAUCAUUGGGCGUAAAGAGCGUGUAGGCGGCCCGGUAAGUCCGCUGUGAAAGUCGGGGGCUCAACCCUCGAAUGCCGGUGGAUACUGUCGGGCUAGAGUGCGGAAGAGGCGAGUGGAAUUCCUGGUGUAGCGGUGAAAUGCGCAGAUAUCAGGAGGAACACCGAUUGCGAAGGCAGCUCGCUGGGACGUAACUGACGCUGCGACGCGAAAGCGUGGGGAGCAAACAGG